rnacentral:rRNA from 1 species
UACGAAGGGGGCUAGCGUUGCUCGGAAUCACUGGGCGUAAAGGGUGCGUAGGCGGGUCUUUAAGUCAGGGGGGAAAUCCUGGAGCUCAACUCCAGAACUGCCUUUGAUACUGAAGAUCUUGAGUUCGGGAGAGGUGAGUGGAACUGCGAGUGUAGAGGUGAAAUUCGUAGAUAUUCGCAAGAACACCAGUGGCGAAGGCGACUUACUGGACACAUAUUGACGCUGAGGUGCGAAAGCGUGGGGAGCAAACAGG